AGGGUUGGCUUUAUAAUUAUUAAUGCUUGGACACCAAGGCUUUGACUGGAUCUUAGAAUGUGAACGCAUUAUCCCUCUCUAUAUUUUAUAAAUAAAGCUAAAAGGGACACUGUUUACCCACAUCUUUUAACACUUAUGACGGUAUUGUUCAACAAAUGUUACUUUAUUUUUUUUCUCUUGACUUUUUUUCUUGUUAUUCAAUUUUUUUUUUUAAUUUAGCUUUUAUAUGAUAUGUUUAUGAGGUUUAGAGUAGGGGAAGUGGUUGCCCAAAUCCAUUAGCACCGUGAAUUAAAAUAGUUAUUUGUAUUUUUUUUAUUUUAAUCCUUUUUUUAUUAUUAAUUUUUUUUAAUUUAGUUCUUAUAUGAUAUGUUUAUGGGGAUUUAAAGUUAAUAAUUUAUUUUAAUUUGUAUUUUAUAUGGUUAUUGCAGGAUAAAAAAAAAUUAAUAUCGAAUUAGUAUUGGGAAAAUAUCCCAUAAUCACAGUAUAAUCUAUUUUUAAAAAAAUUUAGUUAAAUAAAAAAUAAUUUAAAAAACUAGAUUAAUAAAUUUUAUAGAAUCAAAAAAAAUUUACAGGUUAUUUUGUUAAAGGGGAAUGGCUACAGCGAUAAGUAAGAUAUCAAUUUUCGAUUCACAAGAUAUGUUUAGAAGUUUUAUGCCAUUGCCUCUAAUUGGAUAAGUAUCAGGAUGAUAUAUUUUUCUCUGUCUGUAUGUUGUCGAUUGAGUCGAGUUUAUGUUUUAUGCCAUAGUUUUGUGAACCCGGUGCUGCUGGUGUUGCUGCAGCUAUUAAUUCAGGUUCUGUAAGGAAAAAACAGGAUCUCUUACUCAGCUGCUAUUGCCGUUAUCCCAUUUCAAGGAAGAACCUUGAAAAUAAAGGAAAAAGAUAAUGGUUGUUUUUUCUUCGGUGGCUGCUCCAUAUGUGAUUCUGCUCGCCACGUUGUUUCAAGAAGCCUAUUGAUUAGGAUGAGUUGUUCCUUUUCAAUUCUACCUGUUCAUAUUCAGCCAUGCUAAUUUCAAUCCUCCACUGCUGAUGGAAUUUUUUGCAUAACUAAAAGAACCGCUUUCGGGAACUUUACUUUUUGUGAUUUAUGGAAGUCUAUGUGGAAGACACCUCCUACCUCAUCUACCUCUUUUUUGGCUCUGCAAAGAAUAUCUAAGCUUGUUUAAAGUUUGUUAUGUUUAUUAGCAGCCAAUGUCACUCCAAUCCUUUGCCUUAAUCUUUUUGCAAGAUGUACCAAAUUUAUGGAUCUGUUGCUCUUCCUUCUGUUGUUGUCUAAAACUGUUUGUGUUAACGCUAAGACCCCAUAUUUGUGCAGCUUUUAUACUUCUUUCUUUGCCUUCCUAGCAUGGACUAAAAUACUAUCAUGGUUUCAUGAGAUGGUAUGUCCACUAUUCCUUAAAAAAAAAAAAAACCAUGUCAUGUUGACGUUAGAAAGUUAGAAACAGGGGGAGACGACCAUGUCCAACCGUGAGGGGUCAAGGUAUUCCCAAUAUUUGGAUAAUUUUACAUUUUAGUCUUGAAAUCUAAAAGUUUUAAAUUGUAUCGACUUUAUAUGUUUUGACUUUCAAAAAGCAAAGUAUUUUCUUCUUC